UCCAAAGUCUGAACGUUACAAACGCUAGGAAGCACUCGAGCUAGCACUCUAGUCUCAUCUCCAUAGGACGCGACUAGCAAGGACGCGUCCUAGCAAGGCUGCAGCCUUCACUUUGGGAAACAGCCUAGGUUGCAGCGAUGCAUCCUUGAAAAAUCUCGGAAUUCUCAAAAACAAAGAACGCGAAAAUGGCGCGGCUUUCGAGUGUCCUCAACAUUGUCGGCGUUCUAUGACGUAGCGUCCUUAAAAGGGCGGCCGUUGAGCAUGCUUCCUUGACAUUGGGAAACGGCCCAGUACACGUUCAAAUGAAAGUGAAGUUAUAUUAGUUUUCAGAAAUAUUUUGUGCCGUAUUGCUUUUUAUAGAUUCAUCAUGUUAAUGCAAAUAAUCAAGCUUAAAGACUUGUGCCACUUUUCAAACGUUUUUGCAACUUGAUACCGUACGUUGCUGUAUUUUGCAUGGACGUAGCUGCUGUUAAACACCACUGUCGCCAAUAACGAUUUAAUUUUACUCGCUCACAAGAUUACAUUAUUUAUGGAUUACCCUUUUAUGUUUGUUUAACCUUUUUUUUUUUUUAGGGUCAGCCCAGCAAACUGAGACGUUUGUGCGCAUGAGGUGGCGCACAAACAUCUGUUUACAGGUGGACGGGAUACCGCCAUUAAUGGCUAUCGCACUUUGAUUGAACAACUGGAGUUGACAGGCCGGGUGACCCCACUGCAGGCCAAAAAAAAGUGGGAUGACCUUAAAACAAAAUAUAAGUAUUGCAAGGGCCCUGCCUCAGGUCAAGGCACAGAGGACGGCAGGCCCACAGCAGGGACAUGGUGCUGGUUUGCCUUAAUGGACAAGCUCAUUGGCAGGUCAGGAGCCGUGUCACCGCCAGUGGUAGUGGGCUCUCUCCCAGCCAGGCCAGGCCAGGUUAGGGUCAGAGUGGAGGAGGAGGAUGAGGUGGUGAGAGGAGGGAGAGCAGGAGCCAGCACAGCGACAGCCGCAGGGGCAGGAGCAGCAGGGGCAGUUGAAGCAGGGGCAGUUGAAGCAGGGGCAGGAGCAGCGGGCGCAGCAGGGGCAGGAGCAGCGGGCGCAGCAGGGGCAGGAGCAGCGGGCGCAGCAGGGGCCGGAGCAGGGAGAAGAGGGAGGGAGGAUCCAUUCCUGCUUCUGGUGAGGGAGGAUAUCCUUUACCAGCGGCAGGCGGAUGAGAGGAGAGAGGUGGAGUCAAGGGAGCGGUUUGACCGUUUCUUCUCUCUCCUUGAGCGUUUGGUUGAGAGGCGUGAAUGAAUGAAGGAUGGUAUGUAUGUAUGUAUGUAUGUAUGUAUGUAUGUAUGUAUGUAUGUAUGAAUGUAUGAAUGAAUGAGAUCCGAUCAGUUAUUAUUUAUAAAAAUAAAUACAUAUUUAUCAAC
ensembl:lncRNA